GUGGGGAAUCUUCCGCAAUGGACGAAAGUCUGACGGAGCAACGCCGCGUGAGUGAUGACGGCCUUCGGGUUGUAAAGCUCUGUUAAUCGGGACGAAAGGCCUUCUUGCGAAUAGUGAGAAGGAUUGACGGUACCGGAAUAGAAAGCCACGGCUAACUACGUGCCAGCAGCCGCGGUAAUACGUAGGUGGCAAGCGUUGUCCGGAAUUAUUGGGCGUAAAGCGCGCGCAGGCGGCUUCUUAAGUCCAUCUUAAAAGUGCGGGGCUUAACCCCGUGAUGGGAUGGAAACUGGGAGGCUGGAGUAUCGGAGAGGAAAGUGGAAUUCCUAGUGUAGCGGUGAAAUGCGUAGAGAUUAGGAAGAACACCAGUGGCGAAGGCGACUUUCUGGACGAAAACUGACGCUGAGGCGCGAAAGCCAGGGGAGCGAACGGGAUUAGAAACCCCUGUAGUCC
rnacentral:rRNA from 1 species